CAGAAUAGCAAGGGGAGCGGAAAUGCUGAGAGGUGUGUAUGAAAAGACACACGACCCUGAACCUGAUUUGGAUAAUGCCAACGUAGGAAUGCUUACAGAGCAUAUA
rnacentral:ncRNA from 1 species